UUGUGCUUGCACAGAUGACGACCGGCGCACGGGUGCGUAACGCGUAUAGAACCUACCUUUUACAGAGGAAUAGCCUUUAGAAAUGAAGAUUAAUGCCUCAUAGUAUUGUAGACUGGCAUCAGUUUAUAAUUAAAGAUUUAUCGGUAAAAGAUGGCUAUGCGUCCUAUUAGUUAGUUGGUAAGGUAACGGCUUACCAAGACAGCGAUAGGUAGGGGUCCUGAGAGGGAGAUCCCCCACACUGGUACUGAGACACGGACCAGACUCCUACGGGAGACAGCAGUGAGGAAUAUUGGACAAUGGAGGAGACUCUGAUCCAGCCAUGCCGCGUGUAGGAAGAAUGCCCUAUGGGUUGUAAACUACUUUUAUACAGGAAGAAACACUGGUAUGUAUACCAGCUUGACGGUACUGUAAGAAUAAGGACCGGCUAACUCCGUGCCAGCAGCCGCGGUAAUACGGAGGGUCCGAGCGUUAUCCGGAAUCAUUGGGUUUAAAGGGUCCGCAGGCGGUCUAUU
rnacentral:rRNA from 1 species